rnacentral:lncRNA from 1 species
UUCUAAGCAAUGGAGAUAAGCAAGUUGUCAAUCCAUUUAUUAGAUGGACAUCCUGAUAUUUUUAAAUGCUAAUAGUACAUGUUUUUCUACAACAAACUCUCUGAUUUGUUUUCAGAUUCGAUGACUGCAUUGCUCUUCUCUGAGCUUGGGGAUCACUGCAUAUCCCUUUCAGUCUCACAAACAGGUUAAUGAAGCUAGAGGGAAGGAGGGAAGGAUUGGUCGCUCAAUCAAACUGCAACAUAUGGAAAAUCCAACGUUUCAGUGAAUUCUAGGAGUAAGCUAACAUACUUAUUCUGGUGAGACUGGCAUUAAU